UACGGAGGAGGCAAGCGUUAUCCGGAAUUAUUGGGCGUAAAGCGUCCGCAGGUGGCACUUCAAGUCUGUCGUCAAAGACCGGGGCUUAACUUCGGAAAGGCAGUGGAAACUGAACAGCUAGAGUAUGGUAGGGGCAGAGGGAAUUCCUGGUGUAGCGGUGAAAUGCGUAGAUAUCAGGAAGAACAUCGGUGGCGAAGGCGCUCUGCUGGACCAUAACUGACACUCAGGGACGAAAGCGUGGGGAGCAAACAGG
rnacentral:rRNA from 1 species